GUUGAAGAACGCAGCGAAAUGCGAUAAGUAAUGUGAAUUGCAGAAUUCAGUGAAUCAUCGAAUCUUUGAACGCACAUUGCGCCCCUUGGUAUUCCGAGGGGCAUGCCUGUUCGAGCGUCAUUAUAACCCCUCAAGCUCAGCUUGGUGUUGGGGCCUGCUGCACUGGCAGCCCUUAAAAUCAGUGGCGGCGCCAUCUGGCUCUAAGCGUAGUAAUUCUUCUCGCUAUGGAGUCCUGGUGGAUGCUUGCCAUCAACCCCCAAUUUUUCUAUGGUUGACCUCGGAUCAGGUAGGGAUACCCGCUGAACUUAAGCAUAUCAAUAAGCGGAGGA
rnacentral:misc_RNA from 1 species